GGGGAUUUAGCUCAGUUGUAGAGCACGUGCCUAGCAAGCGCAAGGCCCUGGGUUCGGCACCCAGCUCCG
rnacentral:tRNA from 1 species